AUUGAACGCUGGCGGCAGGCCUAACACAUGCAAGUCGAGCGGAUGACGGGAGCUUGCUCCUUGAUUCAGCGGCGGACGGGUGAGUAAUGCCUAGGAAUCUGCCUGGUAGUGGGGGACAACGUUUCGAACGGAACGCUAAUACCGCAUACGUCCUACGGGAGAAAGCAGGGGACCUUCGGGCCUUGCGCUAUCACAUGAGCCUGGGUCGGAUUAGCUAGUAGGUGAGGUAAUGGCUCACCUAGGCGACGAUCCGUAACUGGUCUGAGAGGAUGAUCAGUCACACUGGAACUGAGACACGGUCCAGACUCCUACGGGAGGCAGCAGUGGGGAAUAUUGGACAAUGGGCGAAAGCCUGAUCCAGCCAUGCCGCGUGUGUGAAGAAGGUCUUCGGAUUGUAAAGCACUUUAAGUUGGGAGGAAGGGCAGUAAGCUAAUACCUUGCUGUUUUGACGUUACCGACAGAAUAAGCACCGGCUAACUCUGUGCCAGCAGCCGCCGUAAAAC
rnacentral:rRNA from 1 species